rnacentral:rRNA from 1 species
AGUGAACGCUGGCGGUAGGCCUAACACAUGCAAGUCGAACGACAGCACAGUAAGAGCUUGCUCUUACGGGUGGCGAGUGACGGACGGGUGAGGAAUACAUCGGCAUCUACUUUUUCGUGGAGGAUAACGUAGGGAGACUUAUGCUAAUACCUCAUACGACCUACGGGUGAAAGCAGGGGAGCUUCGGACCUUGCCCGCAUUAAUGAGUCGAUGUCGGAUUAGCUAGUUGGCGGGUUAAAGGCCCACCAAGGCGACGAUCCUUAGCUGGCCUGAGAGGAUGAUCAGCCACACUGGAACUGAGACACGGUCCAGACUCUUACGGGGGGAGGCAGAGGGGAAUAUUGGAAAAGGGGGGAAAGCCUGAUCCGCACAGACCGGGGGGGUGAAGAAGGCUUUCGGGUGUUAAACCCCUUUUGUUGGGAAAGAAAAGGAGGAGGUUAAAACCCCCCUGUUCUGACGGUAACCAAACAGAAAGCAACGGCUAACUUCGUG